rnacentral:rRNA from 1 species
AUGCAGUCGAGCGAUGGAUUAAGAGCUUGCUCUUAUGAAGUUAGCGGCGGACGGGUGAGUAACACGUGGGUAACCUGCCCAUAAGACUGGGAUAACUCCGGGAAACCGGGGCUAAUACCGGAUAACAUUUUGAACUGCAUGGUUCGAAAUUGAAAGGCGGCUUCGGCUGUCACUUAUGGAUGGACCCGCGUCGCAUUAGCUAGUUGGUGAGGUAACGGCUCACCAAGGCAACGAUGCGUAGCCGACCUGAGAGGGUGAUCGGCCACACUGGGACUGAGACACGGCCCAGACUCCUACGGGAGGCAGCAGUAGGGAAUCUUCCGCAAUGGACGAAAGUCUGACGGAGCAACGCCGCGUGAGUGAUGAAGGCUUUCGGGUCGUAAAACUCUGUUGUUAGGGAAGAACAAGUGCUAGUUGAAUAAGCUGGCACCUUGACGGUACCUAACCAGAAAGCCACGGCUAACUACGUGCCAGCAGCCGCGGUAAUACGUAGGUGGCAAGCGUUAUCCGGAAUUAUUGGGCGUAAAGCGCGCGCAGGUGGUUUCUUAAGUCUGAUGUGAAAGCCCACGGCUCAACCGUGGAGGGUCAUUGGAAACUGGGAGACUUGAGUGCAGAAGAGGAAAGUGGAAUUCCAUGUGUAGCGGUGAAAUGCGUAGAGAUAUGGAGGAACACCAG